rnacentral:rRNA from 1 species
GCUGGCGGCGUGCUUAAUACAUGCAAGUCGAACGAGGACCAAGGAGCUUGCUCCUUGUAGCCGAGUGGCGAACGGGUGAGUAACACGUGACCAACCUGUCCUAGGGUGAGGGACAACCUGGGGAAACCCGGGCUAAUACCGCAUGACGUCUCGUCAUCGCAUGUUGAUGAGAUCAAAGGGAGCCUCUGCUUGCAUGCUCUCGCCCAAGGAGGGGGUCGCGACGUAUCAGCUUGUUGGUGGGGUAACGGCCUACCAAGGCUACGACGCGUAGCGGGUCUGAGAGGACGACCCGUCACAUUGGGACUGAGAUACGGCCCAGACUCCUACGGGAGGCAGCAGUAGGGAAUAUUGCGCAAUGGGCGAAAGCCUGACGCAGCGACGCCGCGUGUGGGAGGAAGCCUUUCGGGGUGUAAACCACUGUCAGAGGGGAAGAACGGCGCCGGUUCGAAUAGGAUCGGCGAUUGACGGUACCUUCAGAGGAAGCGCCGGCUAACUCCGUG